ensembl:snRNA U1 U1 spliceosomal RNA
ACACUUUUUCUGGCAGGAGAGAGACCAUGAUCAUGAAGGGGGUUCUCCCAGGGCGAGGCUCAUCCAUUGCACUCUGGAUGUGCUGACCCCUGUGAUUUCCCCAAAUGUGGGAAACCUGACUGCAUAAUUUGUGGUAGUGGGGGGACUGCGUUCAUGCUUCCCCUAA